rnacentral:rRNA from 1 species
AGUGAACGCUGGCGGCGUGCUUAACACAUGCAAGUCGAACGAGAACGGGUUAUAGCUUGCUAUAAUUGUCAGCUAAGUGGCGCACGGGUGAGUAAUGUAUAGGUAAUAUGCCUCUUACUAAGGGAUAACAAAUGGAAACGUUUGCUAAUACCUUAUACUCCUUAUUAACAGAAGUUAAUAAGGGAAAGAUUUAUUGGUAAGAGAUUAGCCUGUAUUGUAUCAGUUAGUUGGUGGGGUAAUGGCUUAACAAGACUAUGACACAUAACUGGUUUGAGAGGAUGAUCAGUCACACUGGAACUGAGACACGGUCCAGACUCCUACGGGAGGCAGCAGUGGGGAAUAUUGCACAAUGGACGAAAGUCUGAUGCAGCAACGCCGCGUGGAGGAUGACACAUUUCGGUGCGUAAACUCCUUUUAUAUGAGAAGAUAAUGACGGUAUUAUAUGAAUAAGCACCAGCUAACUCCGUGCCAGCCGCCGCCGUAA